GAACUCGGGGUGUCAGAGGGCAAAGGAACUACCUGCCUUUCACGGCUGCUGACUUCUCAGGGCUGCAAGCAGCACAGAAUGUUAUCCUUACGUCCUGAGCCGGUUUAAGUCUGUGGAAAAGGAAGCACGGGAGAAAUCCACGUAACCUUUGCUUUCUUUUUAAGGGAAGCGGUUCCGCCGUGAACUUGGAACCCUCAGCUCCGGGUGUUCUCGGCAGAAGGGCAGCUGGAAGGGACACAGUGGGGCAGGCUUUGGGGUUGCUCCCUGUUCUGCCCCGAGGCCGGGGACGCAGGGCAGCCCACGCCUCCGUGGGCUCCAUUCUGUAGCAUUGCCAGCGUUCUCUUCACGUCUCUAACAAUCCUUCGCUUUUCCUCACUCACGUGGAAAUGUGAACUGUCCCGGCUCUGUCUUCAUUUUUAUUUUUAAGCCAUCGUUCCCCUCCUGAACGGUUGCCCCUUAUUUAAUGCUGUAAAGUUGGACUGUUGUUCAAUAAACCAGAGCAAUGCAUUAGCUCCUC
rnacentral:lncRNA from 1 species